UACAGAGGUCCCGAGCGUUGUUCGGAUUCAUUGGGCGUAAAGGGUGCGUAGGCGGUCUGCUAAGUUUGAUGUGAAAUCCCGGGGCUCAACCCUGGAAUUGCAUUGAAUACUGGCGGACUAGAGUCCUGGAGAGGAAACUGGAAUUUACGGUGUAGCAGUGAAAUGCGUAGAGAUCGUAAGGAAGACCAGUGGCGAAGGCGGCUCUCUGGGACGGUACUGACGCUGAGACGCGAAAGCGUGGGGAGCGAACAGG
rnacentral:rRNA from 1 species